CCUACGGGAGGGCUGCAGUGAGGAACAUUGGGCAAUGGCCGGAAGGCUGAACCAGCCAAGCCGCGUGAAGGACGAAGGUGCCAAGCAUUGGAAACUUCUUGUGGCAAGGGACAAAAGCAGGCACGAGAGCCUGACCGAGGGUACUUGAAGAAAAAGCAUCGGCUAACUCCGUGCCAGCAGCCGCGGGAAGACGGAGGAUGCGAGCGUUAGCCGGAUUGAUUGGGUUUAAGGCGAGCGUAGGUGGAUUGUUAAGUCAGUGGGGAAAGUUUGCGGCUCAACCGUAAAAUUGCAGUUGAAACUGGCAGUCUUGAUUACAGUAGAGGUGGGCGGAAUUCGUUGUGUAGCGGU
rnacentral:rRNA from 1 species